GAUCUUCCAAAGUUGGGUUUUGGGGUCAUUGGAAACUCAAAAGUUGGGUUUUGGGUCAUUAAAGUCAUGGAGAACCUUCCAAAGUUGGGUUUUGGUCAUGAAAGUCAUGGAGGAUCUUCCAAAGUUGGGUUUUGAGAUCAAUAAAAACUCAAAAGUUGAGUUUUGGUCAAUAAAAUCAUGGAGAAAGCCCAAAAGUUGGGUUUUGAGGUCAUUAAA